rnacentral:lncRNA from 1 species
CCUCGUAGAAAUCAGUUAUCAAUUAAUAACAUGUUAACAGUGAAGAUCUUACUGCCAACAACUAAAACGAAAUAGAGAGCAUUACAAAAUCGAGCACUACUGAUUAGGUUUGAAAAAAGAGCACAAACCUAUAACAAAAAAUAACAACUAAAACGAAAUAGAGAGCAUUACAAAAUAGAGCACUAAUGAUUAGGUUUGAAAAAAGAGCACAAAACUGUAACAAAAAAUAUGGUUUGGUUAAUUAAAUACUAAACAUACUCGAGUUAUCUCACAUGGAUGCAAAGAACGGAGACAAAAGACUCAAGGUGAUUUGAAGGCUAAGGGGUUUUCCCAUAACCUAAUUCAGUAGUUGAACUAAAUUAAGAUCGCUUGACACUAACAAUUCAUAUAACUUAAAAAAUUAAGUGCCUCUUUAAAUGAAGGAUAAACUUAAAAAUAUUUUAGCAUCCCUCCUACUUGAUGCUUACUGAAUUUGUAACUAUUUAUG